rnacentral:rRNA from 1 species
GAUUAACGCUGGCGGCAUGCCUAAUACAUGCAAGUCGAACGGAAGCAGCAAUGCUUUAGUGGCGAACGGGUGAGUAACACGUAGGGAACCUACCUAUACGACGAGGAUAACUACUGGAAACGGUAGCUAAAACUGGAUAGGAUCAAUUGAGGCAUCUUGAUUGAUUUAAAGAUCCUUCGGGAUUACGUAGAGAUGGCCCUGCGGCGCAUUAGCUAGUUGGUGAGGUAACGGCCCACCAAGGCGACGAUGCGUAGCUGAGCUGAGAGGCUAAACAGCCACACUGGGACUGAGACACGGCCCAGACUCCUACGGGAGGCAGCAGUAGGGAAUUUUCGGCAAUGGGGGAAACCCUGACCGAGCAAUGCCGCGUGAACGAUGAAGGUCUUCGGAUUGUAAAGUUCUGUGAUUGGGGAAGAAUGGUAUUCUUAGGGAAUGAGGAGUACAUGACGGUACCCGAUUAGAAAGCCCCGG